rnacentral:lncRNA from 1 species
UGGUGCUGAUGCCAUUUUCAGCCUCAGCACGCCUGCACCCAGGCGCUCAUUAAAACAGCAUGUUGCUCCCCACUGCCUCGUGUUGUCUGUUGGCGCGCUGUCGGGGUUCGAACCGAUACAAGAACCUUCCACCUACCUGGUGCUUUGGCCUCAUCUAUAAGCUUUUCCACUGUCCUGAAACAAGAUAGAGAAUCUGAGCGGCCAGUCAUCUGCCCUAAGUGCUGCCGCCGAAGACUGAAUGUCCUGGAAAGUUUGCUGUCACAUCUCCAUUAUGACAAAAGCAUUGUGCCGAACAGAUGAAAAAAUGCAUUGUCAACGGAAUCUUUUAUGUUUGUUUGUCUUCCUUUAAGCAACAUUGCCUUACUUGUUAUAAAAGAUAAAUAAAUAUUUGUUCAUUUCAA